GAUGAACGCUGGCGGCGUGCCUAAUACAUGCAAGUCGAGCGAACGGACGAGAAGCUUGCUUCUCUGAUGUUAGCGGUGGACGGGUGAGUAACACGUGGAUAACCUACCUAUAAGACUGGGAUAACUUCGGGAAACCGGAGCUAAUACCGGAUAAUAUUUUGAACCGCAUGGUUCAAAAGUGAAAGACGGUCUUGCUGUCACUUAUAGAUGGAUCCGCGCUGCAUUAGCUAGUUGGUAAGGUAACGGCUUACCAAGGCAACGAUGCAUAGCCGACCUGAGAGGGUGAUCGGCCACACUGGAACUGAGACACGGUCCAGACUCCUACGGGAGGCAGCAGUAGGGAAUCUUCCGCAAUGGGCGAAAGCCUGACGGAGCAACGCCGCGUGAGUGAUGAAGGUCUUCGGAUCGUAAAACUCUGUUAUUAGGGAAGAACAUAUGUGUAAGUAACUGUGCACAUCUUGACGGUACCUAAUCAGAAAGCCACGGCUAACUACGUGCCAGCAGCCGCGGUAAUACGUAGGUGGCAAGCGUUAUCCGGAAUUAUUGGGCGUAAAGCGCGCGUAGGCGGUUUUUUAAGUCUGAUGUGAAAGCCCACGGCUCAACCGUGGAGGGUCAUUGGAAACUGGAAAACUUGAGUGCAGAAGAGGAAAGUGGAAUUCCAUGUGCAGCGGUGAAAUGCGCAGAGAUAUGGAGGAACACCAGUGGCGAAGGCGACUUUCUGGUCUGUAACUGACGCUGAUGUGCGAAAGCGUGGGGAUCAAACAGGAUUAGAUACCCUGGUAGUCCACGCCGUAAACGAUGAGUGCUAAGUGUUAGGGGGUUUCCGCCCCUUAGUGCUGCAGCUAACGCAUUAAGCACUCCGCCUGGGGAGUACGACCGCAAGGUUGAAACUCAAAGGAAUUGACGGGGACCCGCACAAGCGGUGGAGCAUGUGGUUUAAUUCGAAGCAACGCGAAGAACCUUACCAAAUCUUGACAUCCUUUGACAACUCUAGAGAUAGAGCCUUCCCCUUCGGGGGGGCAAAGUGACAGGUGGUGCAUGGUUGUCGUCAGCUCGUGUCGUGAGAUGUUGGGUUAAGUCCCGCAACGAGCGCAACCCUUAAGCUUAGUUGCCAUCAUUAAGUUGGGCACUCUAAGUUGACUGCCGGUGACAAACCGGAGGAAGGUGGGGAUGACGUCAAAUCAUCAUGCCCCUUAUGAUUUGGGCUACACACGUGCUACAAUGGACAAUACAAAGGGCAGCGAAACCGCGAGGUCAAGCAAAUCCCAUAAAGUUGUUCUCAGUUCGGAUUGUAGUCUGCAACUCGACUACAUGAAGCUGGAAUCGCUAGUAAUCGUAGAUCAGCAUGCUACGGUGAAUACGUUCCCGGGUCU
rnacentral:rRNA from 1 species